CCUACGGGAGGCAGCAGUAAGGAAUAUUGGUCAAUGGACGAAAGUCUGAACCAGCCAUGCCGCGUGAAGGAUGACGGCCCUCUGGGUUGUAAACUUCUUUUAUCUGGGACGAAAAAAGGGAAUUCUUUCUCACUUGACGGUACCAGAGGAAUAAGCACCGGCUAACUCCGUGCCAGCAGCCGCGGUAAUACGGAGGGUGCAAGCGUUAUCCGGAUUCACUGGGUUUAAAGGGAGCGUAGGUGGGCAGGUAAGUCAGUGGUGAAAUCUCCGGGCUUAACCCGGAAACUGCCAUUGAUACUAUUUGUCUUGAAUUAUCUGGAGGUAAGCGGAAUAUGUCAUGUAGCGGUGAAAUGCUUAGAUAUGACAUAGAACACCCAUUGCGAAGGCAGCUUACUACGGGAUAUAUUGACACUGAGGCUCGAAAGCGUGGGGAUCAAACAGGAUUAGAUACCCUGGUAGUCCACGCCCUAAACGAUGGAUACUCACANCANCGAUACACUGUGUGUNUGAGNGAAGAGAUAGUAUCCACCNGGAGUACGACCGCGAGUAGUUAAGUUACUAAUUAGAGUUAGNGGCGNGAGAGNGCGACGGACGACGACGAGGGAGGAGG
rnacentral:rRNA from 1 species